rnacentral:lncRNA from 1 species
AUUCUUUGCUCCUCUAUUUAUACAAACGUGACGAUUUGUCCAGAGCCAAGAGUGUAGGAGAAAUAUCGAUAAAAAUGAAAAAUACAAAAUUUCAAAUCGCUGCGAUAUUUGUGUUUGUAUUAAUAAUUUGUGCAGGUAAAACUACACUUGGUGAUAGUGAAUGUUGUAUUGAUUGUCGUAAGAUAUGCUGCAGAGGAUGCCCCAGCCUGCCCUGUUUUGUUAUUUGCGCUCAAAAAUGUCCUGAUUAUGCUACGUGCGGUGCUGAUGACUGCAUAAAGACGAAUAAUAUAAUCGGUAAGUGAUUUUUUUCAAUCGUAUUUUAAUGUGUUCUGUAUAUAAUGUUUUUUAAUAAUUCAUGUUUGGUAUGAAACUUCGGUGUUUAAAAUUUUUAUAUGAAAAUAAUGUUAUGUGCAAUUUUUUUUAUAAAUCUUUAAAACGGGAGUAGUUUUCUAUUAUGUAUUGAUAAUUGGAAUUAUUAUGCAUCAAUAAGAAUAUAUUCUUUUUUUUUUGAAACGAUCAAUAAUAAUAUAUUUCUUUUCAUAUUGCAGGUAAGUAAAAAGAGCAAGCUAGAAUGGAGAAAAAUUAACGAGAACGUGGAGCCCUAUAUUUAUAUGGAUUUUACUUUUCCGAUCGUUUUCUUUUAUUUGAGGUUCACGUAAUUUUAAUUUUUAUUGAGGUUGUGUGGAACUAUAAAUCGUGUGAUAAAAGAUCAAAAGUUUGUACACAAAUAUUAUUAGAAAUAUCAUUAUUAUUUUCAUUUUAGUUCGAAUAUGUUCAGGAAGUCUUUUUUAUAUGAAAAUGUGUCGAGGAUAUUAUUGAACAUGCAGCCGGU